rnacentral:rRNA from 1 species
AGGGCCGACCUGACCCCAUGCCGAACUCAGAAGUGAAACGCCGUAGCGCCGAUGGUAGUGUGGGGUCUCCCCAUGCGAGAGUAGGGAACUGCCAGGC